CCUACGUGAGGCAGCAGUGAGGAAUAUUGGUCAAUGGGCUUACGCCUGAACCAGCCAAGUCGCGUGAGGGAAGACUGCCCUAUGGGUUGUAAACCUCUUUUGUCAGGGAGCAACGCCGGCUACGUGUAGCCGGACUGAGAGUACCUGAAGAAAAAGCAUCGGCUAACUCCGUGCCAGCAGCCGCGGUAAUACGGAGGAUGCGAGCGUUAUCCGGAUUUAUUGGGUUUAAAGGGUGCGUAGGCGGAAUGCCAAGUCAGCGGUAAAAUCGCGGGGCUCAACCUCGCUCCGCCGUUGAAACUGGCGUUCUUGAGUGGGCGAGAAGUAUGCGGAAUGCGUGGUGUAGCGGUGAAAUGCAGAGAUAUCACGCAGAACUCCGAUUGCGAAGGCAGCAUACCGGCGCCCAACUGACGCUGAAGCACGAAAGCGUGGGUAUCGAACAGGAUUAGAUACCCCAGUAGUC
rnacentral:rRNA from 1 species